rnacentral:rRNA from 1 species
GACGAGAGUGGCAAGCGUUAUCCGGAAUUACUGGGCGUAAAGAGCGCGUAGGCGGUUUUGAAAGUCAGGGGUGAAAAGUCUGGGCUCAACCGAGGCCUUGCCUUUGAAACUUCAAGACUAGAGUACAGGAUAGGAGGGUAGAACUACCAGUGUAGCGGUGGAAUGCGUAGAUAUUGGUAGGAACGCCGAUGACGAAGGUAACUCUCUGGACUGAUACUGACGCUGAGGUGCGAAAGCUAGGGGAGCAAACAGG